rnacentral:rRNA from 1 species
UACGAAGGGGGCUAGCGUUGCUCGGAAUCACUGACGUAGACGCACGUAGGCGGCUUCUUAAGUCAGGGGUGAAAUCCUGGAGCUCAACUCCAGAACUGCCUUUGAUACUGAGAGCUUGAGUCCGGGAGAGGUGAGUGGAACUGCGAGUGUAGAGGUGAAAUUCGUAGAUAUUCGCAAGAACACCAGUGGCGAAGGCGGCUCACUGGCCCGGUACUGACGCUGAGGUGCGAAAGCGUGGGGAGCAAACAGG